rnacentral:rRNA from 1 species
UACAGAGGUCUCAAGCGUUGUUCGGAUUCAUUGGGCGUAAAGGGUGCGUAGGCGGCGCGGUAAGUCGGGUGUGAAAUCUUGGAGCUUAACUCCGAAACUGCAUUCGAUACUGCCGUGCUUGAGGACUGGAGAGGAGACUGGAAUUUACGGUGUAGCGGUGAAAUGCGUAGAUAUCGUAAGGAAGACCAGUGGCGAAAGCGGCUCUCUGGGACGGUACUGACGCUGAGACGCGAAAAGCGUGGGGGAGCAAAACAGG